GACGUAGGGCGCGAGCGUUGUCCGGAUUUAUUGGGCGUAAAGAGCUCGUAGGCGGCUUGUUGCGUCGGCUGUGAAAACCCAUGGCUCAACCGUGGGCUUGCAGCCGAUACGGGCAGGCUGGAGUUCGGUAGGGAGGACGUGAAUUCCUGGUGGUAGCGGUGAAAUGCGCAGAUAUCAGGAGGAACACCGGUGGCGAAGGCGGGUCUCUGGGCCGAUACUGACGCUGAGGAGCGAAAGCGUGGGGAGCGAACAGG
rnacentral:rRNA from 1 species